GAUGAACGCUGGCGGCGUGCCUAAUACAUGCAAGUCGAGCGAACGGACGAGAAGCUUGCUUUUCUGAUGUUAGCGGCGGACGGGUGAGUAACACGUGGAUACCCUCCCUAUAAGACUGGGAUAACUUCGGGAAACCGGAGCUAAUACCGGAUAAUAUUUUGAACCGCAUGGUUCAAAAGUGAAAGACGGUCUUGCUGUCACUUAUAGAUGGAUCCGCGCUGCAUUAGCUAGUUGGUAAGGUAACGGCUUACCAAGGCAACGAUGCAUAGCCGACCUGAGAGGGUGAUCGGCCACACUGGAACUGAUACACGGUCCAGACUCCUACGGGAGGCAGCAGUAGGGAAUCUUCCGCAAUGGGCGAAAGCCUGACGGAGCAACGCCGCGUGAGUGAUGAAGGUCUUCGGAUCGUAAAACUCUGCUAUUAGGGAAGAACAAAUGUGUAAGUAACUGUGCACAUCUUGACGGUACCUAAUCAGAAAGCCACGGCUAACUACGUG
rnacentral:rRNA from 1 species